AUAAAAUGCAAAGUCUAAAAAUCUGUUUUUUAAGAAAGGACACAAGGGAGCUGGAGAGAUGGCUCAGAGGUUAAGAGCACUGGCUGUUCUUCCAGAGGUCAUGAGUUCAAUUCCCAGUAACCACACGGUGGCUCACAACCAUC